AUUGGCAAGGGCUCAUUUGGGGAGGUGUACAAGGGGAUCGACAACCACACGAAGGAGGUGGUGGCCAUCAAGAUCAUUGACCUGGAAGAGGCCGAGGAUGAGAUUGAGGACAUCCAACAGGAGAUCACCGUGCUCAGCCAAUGUGAUAGCCCUUACAUCACUCGCUACUUCGGCUCCUACCUAAAGGUGCCUACGAGGAGGAGGUUGUCUAUAGUGGUUGGGGAUGGAGCACUCUGAAAGGUCUGUGUCAGGCUGUCUCCUUUGUUUCCAGAGGGAUUAAUAUGUGCCCAAGGAUAGAGAGCAGAGGAGAUGGCUAUGGGCACUUAGAAUCCCUGUGGAAGGGCAGAGCGGUCCCCCCUCCCUGAUAAUCUCAGCUUUAUAAAAGCAGCCUGUUCUCUUG
rnacentral:lncRNA from 1 species